rnacentral:rRNA from 1 species
GAGUUUGAUCAUGGCUCAGGAUGAACGCUGGCGGCGUGCCUAAUACAUGCAAGUCGAACGAACAGAUAAGGAGCUUGCUCCUCUGACGUUAGCGGCGGACGGGUGAGUAACACGUGGGUAACCUACCUAUAAGACUGGAAUAACUCCGGGAAACCGGGGCUAAUGCCGGAUAACAUGUUGAACCGCAUGGUUCUACAGUGAAAGACGGUCUUGCUGUCACUUAUAGAUGGACCCGCGCCGUAUUAGCUAGUUGGUGGGUAACGGCCUACCAAGGCGACGAUACGUAGCCGACCUGAGAGGGUGAUCGGCCACACUGGAACUGAGACACGGUCCAGACUCCUACGGGAGGCAGCAGUAGGGAAUCUUCCGCAAUGGGCGAAAGCCUGACGGAGCAACGCCGCGUGAGUGAUGAAGGUCUUCGGAUCGUAAAGCUCUGUUGUUAGGGAAGAACAAAUGUGUAAGUAACUGUGCAUAUCUUGACGGUACCUAACCAGAAAGCCACGGCUAACUACGUGCCAGCAG